rnacentral:rRNA from 1 species
UCGGGAAUAUUGCGCAAUGGAGGAAACUCUGACGCAGUGACGCCGCGUAUAGGAAGAAGGUUUUCGGAUUGUAAACUAUUGUCGUUAGGGAAGAUAAAAGACUGUACCUAAGGAGGAAGCCCGCUAGCUAUGUGCAGCAGCCGCGGGUAAUACAUAGGGGCGAAGCGUUAUCCGGAAUUAUUGGGUGUAAAGGGUGCGUAGACGGAAGAACAAGUUGGUUGUGAAAUCCCUCGGCUCAACUGAGGAACUGCAACCAAAACUAUUCUCCUUGAGUGUCGGAGAGGAAAGUGGAAUUCCUAGUGUAGCGGUGAAAUGCGUAGAUAUUAGGAGGAACACCAGUGGCGAAGGCGACUUUCUGGACGAUAACUGACGUUGAGGCACGAAAGUGUGGGGAGCAAACAGGAUUAGAUACC